rnacentral:rRNA from 1 species
GACAGAGGCCUCAAGCGUUAGGCGGAAUCACUGGGCUUAAAGCGUGUGUAGGCGGAUCGUUAAGUGUCUUGUGAAAUCCCACGGCUCACCCGUGGAACUGCUGGGCAUACUGGCGAUCUUGGGCCAACUAGGGGCAGCCGGAACAAGCGGUGGAGCGGUGAAAUGCGUAGAUAUCGCUUGGAACGCCAAAGGUGAAAACAGGUAGCUGGGGGUGUGCUGACACUGAGACACGAAAGCCAGGGGAGCAAACGGG